CAGCCGUAAACUAUGCUCGCUAGGUGUCAGGCAUGGCGCGACCGUGUCUGGUGCCGCAGGGAAGCCGUGAAGCGAGCCACCUGGGAAGUACGGCCGCAAGGCUGAAACUUAAAGGAAUUGGCGGGGGAGCACAACAACGGGUGGAGCCUGCGGUUUAAUUGGACUCAACGCCGGACAACUCACCGGGGGACACAGCAAUAUGUAGGCCAGGCUGAAGACCUUGCCUGAAUCGCUGAGAGGUGGUGCAUGGCGUAGACGUCU
rnacentral:rRNA from 1 species